UAUGCACGCUGGCGGCGUGCCUAAUACAUGCAAGUCGAGCGAACAGACGAGGAGCUUGCUCCUCUGACGUUAGCGGCGGACGGGUGAGUAACACGUGGAUAACCUACCUAUAAGACUGGGAUAACUUCGGGAAACCGGAGCUAAUACCGGAUAAUAUAUUGAACCGCAUGGUUCAAUAGUGAAAGACGGUUUUGCUGUAACUUAUAGAUGGAUCCGCGCCGCAUUAGCUAGUUGGUAAGGUAACGGCUUACCAAGGCAACGAUGCGUAGCCGACCUGAGAGGGUGAUCGACCACACUGGAACUGAGACACGGUCCAGACUCCUACGGGAGGCAGCAGUAGGGAAUCUUCCGCAAUGGGCGAAAGCCUGACGUAGCAACGCCGCGUGAGUGAUGAAGUUCUUCGGAUCGUAAAACUCUGUUAUUAUGGAAGAACAAUUGUGUAAGUAACUAUGCACGUCUUGACGGUACCUAAUCAGAAAGCCUCGGCUAACUACGUG
rnacentral:rRNA from 1 species